GAGAGUAUAGCUCAGUGGUAGAGCACAUGCUUAGUAUGCACAAGGUCCUGGGUUCAAUCCCCAGGACCUUCA
rnacentral:tRNA from 1 species